CCUACGGGAGGCUGCAGUGAGGAAUAUUGGUCAAUGGGCGCGAGCCUGAACCAGCCAAGUAGCGUGAAGGAUGACUGCCCUACGGGUUGUAAACUUCUUUUGUCAGGGAGCAAUUGGGUCCACGCGUGCGCUUAGCGAGAUUACCUGAAGAAAAAGCAUCGGCUAACUCCGUCCCAGCAGCCGCGGUAAUACGGAGGAGGCGAGCGUUAUCCGGAUUUAUUGGGUUUAAAGGUUGCGUAGGCGGAAUAUCAAGUCAGCGGUAAAAAUGCGGGGCUCAACCCCGUCGUGCCGUUGAAACUGAGGUUCUUGAGUGGGCGAGAAGUAUGCGGAAUGCGUGGUGUAGCGGUGAAAUGCAUAGAUAUCACGCAGAACUACGAUUGCGAAGGCAGCGUACCGGCGCCCAACUGACGCUGAAGCACGAAAGCGUGGGUAUCGAACAGGAUUAGAUACCCCUGUAGUC
rnacentral:rRNA from 1 species